rnacentral:rRNA from 1 species
GACGAACGCUGGCGGCGUGCCUAAUACAUGCAAGUAGAACGCACAGUUUAUACCGUAGCUUGCUACACCAUAGACUGUGAGUUGCGAACGGGUGAGUAACGCGUAGGUAACCUGCCUGGUAGCGGGGGAUAACUAUUGGAAACGAUAGCUAAUACCGCAUAAUAUUAAUUAUUGCAUGAUAAUUAAUUGAAAGGUGCAAUUGCACCACUACCAGAUGGACCUGCGUUGUAUUAGCUAGUAGGUGAGGUAACGGCUCACCUAGGCGACGAUACAUAGCCGACCUGAGAGGGUGAUCGGCCACACUGGGACUGAGACACGGCCCAGACUCCUACGGGAGGCAGCAGUAGGGAAUCUUCGGAAAUGGACGAAAGUCUGACCGAGCAAAGCCGCGUGAGUGAAGAAGGGUGUCGGAUCGUAAAGCUCUGUUGUAAGAGAAGAACGGGUGUGAGAGUGGAAAGUUCACACUGUGACGGUAUCUUACCAGAAAGGGACGGCUAACUACGUG